CCAUUCCAAAUCAAAAAGUCUCUGUUUUCUUUUUUUUUUUUCGUUUUAUUCUUUAAAGCUUCACAAAUGCUCAUUCAAAGAAGAAAACUUUCAAGUUGUGUAAAACUUUUUCACACGGAGGAAAGAAUAUGCAGUAGAAGAAAAAGUUGCAGACUUUGGAGUUUUCUAACAGCUCUCUGAUUUGUUCCAAACGCCGGAAAAUAAAUGUGGAAGCUGUUUCUAAAAUUCGGAGACUUGGGGGAAAAGUUCAUCAUCAAAACUUAAACGAUCUCAAUCGCCGGAGAAAAGAUGUGGAAAUUGUUUCAAAGCGUUGGAGACUUUGGAAAGAAAAGCAUUAUCAAAAACAGUUAAAUCGAUUUCAAAUGAUCUGAAAAUUGCGAACAGUCUUACCGGAAUCAGGACCAGAAACCGGUAUGACCACUCCACAUUGUUGAUACAAGGAUGGCAAACGCAUAUAUGACCAAUGGAGGGUAUGUACCAAUCAGAUCAAUCUGAACUCCAUGGAGAUCCUCCAAAUUUACAUUAGAAGAUGUUAAGCAAGGACCACAAUCCAUAACGAACAUUAAUUUAAAUAUAAGAUCCCUAUCACAAACUUUAAUUUAAA